rnacentral:ribozyme from 1 species
AGAAAGAAGAAGCGCAUCAAGCAACAGUUGAGUCCAGAGACGCCGCAGUGGAGGAAUGGAAAGCACAAGCGCAGCAGUGGCAAGUGCGAGCUUCGCAGCUUGAAGAAGAGUUGGAUGCUCAGGUGAAGGCCCUGCAAGACAG